UGGGGAAUAUUGCACAAUGGGCGAAAGCCUGAUGCAGUGACGCCGCGUGCGGGAUGACGGCCUUCGGGUUGUAAACCGCUUUCGGCAGGGAAGAAGCCGUAAGGUGACGGUACCUGCAGAAGAAGCGCCGGCUAACUACGUGCCAGCAGCCGCGGUAAUACGUAGGGCGCAAGCGUUGUCCGGAAUUAUUGGGCGUAAAGAGCUCGUAGGCGGUUCGUCGCGUCUGCUGUGAAAUCCUCAGGCUCAACCUGGGGCGUGCAGUGGGUACGGGCGGACUGGAGUGCGGUAGGGGUGACUGGAAUUCCUGGUGUAGCGGUGGAAUGCGCAGAUAUCAGGAGGAACACCGAUGGCGAAGGCAGGUCACUGGGCCGCAACUGACGCUGAGGAGCGAAAGCAUGGGGAGCGAACA
rnacentral:rRNA from 1 species